GUCGGCCCGCGGUAGAUUAGGCAGUUGGUGGGGUAAAGGCCUACCAAACCUACGAUCUAUAGCUGGUCUGAGAGGACGAUCAGCCACAUUGGAACUGAGACACGGUCCAGACUCCUACGGGAGGCAGCAGUGAGGAAUAUUGGGCAAUGGAGGAAACUCUGACCCAGCCAUGCCGCGUGAGUGAGAAGGUUUUCGAAUUGUAAAGCUCUUUCGGGUGUGAAGAUGAUGACGGUAACACCAGAAGAAGCCCCGGCAAACUUCGUGCCAGCAGCCGCGGUAAUACGAAGGGGGCAAGCGUUGUUCGGAAUUACUGGGCGUAAAGGGUGUGUAGGCGGAUUUGUAAGAUAGUGGUGAAAUACCUGAGCUCAACUUAGGAAUUGCCAUUAUAACUAUAGAUCUGGAGUGACAGAGAGGAUAUUGGAAUACCCAGUGUAGAGGUGAAAUUCGUAGAUAUUGGGUAGAACACCAGAGGCGAAGGCGGCUAUCUGGGCAUUGAUUGACGCUGAGGCACGAAAGCAUGGGGAUCAAACAGGAUUAGAUACCCUGGUAGUCCAUGCUGUAAACGAUGAAUGCUAGUUGUUGGAGGAAUUCAGUGACGCAGUUAACACAAUAAGCAUUCCGCCUGGGGAGUACGGUCGCAAGAUUAAAACUCAAAGGAAUUGACGGGGACCCGCACAAGCGGUGGAUGAUGUGGAUUAAUUCGAUGCAACGCGAAAAACCUUACCCAGCCUUGACAUGUCAGGAAUGCCUCGGAGAUGAGGCAGUGCCCGCAAGGGAACCUGAGCACAGGUGCUGCAUGGCUGUCGUCAGCUCGUGUCGUGAGAUGUUGGGUUAAGUCCCGCAACGAGCGCAACC
rnacentral:rRNA from 1 species